rnacentral:rRNA from 1 species
GUACACUCCUACGGGAGGCAGCAGUGGGGAAUUUUGGACAAUGGGCGAAAGCCUGAUCCAGCCAUGCCGCGUGCAGGAUGAAGGCCUUCGGGUUGUAAACUGCUUUUGUACGGAACGAAACGGCCUUUUCUAAUAAAGAGGGCUAAUGACGGUACCGUAAGAAUAAGCACCGGCUAACUACGUGCCAGCAGCCGCGGUAAUACGUAGGGUGCAAGCGUUAAUCGGAAUUACUGGGCGUAAAGCGUGCGCAGGCGGUUAUGUAAGACAGUUGUGAAAUCCCCGGGCUCAACCUGGGAACUGCAUCUGUGACUGCAUAGCUAGAGUACGGUAGAGGGGGAUGGAAUUCCGCGUGUAGCAGUGAAAUGCGUAGAUAUGCGGAGGAACACCGAUGGCGAAGGCAAUCCCCUGGACCUGUACUGACGCUCAUGCACGAAAGCGUGGGGAGCAAACAGGAUUAGAUACCCGGGUAGUCCCAUG